rnacentral:lncRNA from 1 species
UGGUGCAAAUACAGCUUAUAACAGGCUGGUAGUAAAAAAUGGCAGACGGCAUUUAAUACAAAACAAAGGGGAUUAUUCAUUAUCCAACCGAAAGUAUAGAAAACCGAACAAUAAAAAAAAAUCGAAACGAGGAAAAACAUUCUCUGUGGACUAAAUUAGAAUUGAAAUAUCCCUGAUAAGACUGGAAAGUGGAAAGUGGAAUAAAAAAAAGUUGGUGAGAUUUCUAUUUUAAAUAACUGUGCCAUAUUUUUCAUUCCGUUUAAAAAGUCCUAAGUGUCCUCGUAAGUCAAUAAUGCACAUCAUGCUCCUUCUCUCAACACAUUGGACAAGUAGUCUCAAAUAAUAGAGUAUACAUUAUUUAACUUCCAACACAGUUGAAUCUUGACGAUCUAGAGAACUAAAUAUGAUCCAUGCGCGAUGACCAAAUCAACGGGCUAGACUGAUAAGAAAAAUGGGGCUCAAGAAACAUGGAGCUCGGUGGUUUAGACGUUAGUCAGCAGAUGGGGCAGCUGUGAGCACAACAUCAAGUAACGUGAACGCAAAAAAGCACGGGCUCAAGGAGCAUGUGACCGAAAUCCUUCGAGAUACUGUGACCAUGUGUUCAAAUCUACAGGUCUUCAUCUAGUUACUGUUGCCUCUAAAAUAUCCCAAGCGUGACGGAAAAGUCAGUCCCCCUGUGCAAGCAAUUCAACAAAAUAGCACUUAGGUAAUAAUUAACACAGUGCCUGAUCGAGCGGCGCGUGACAUAGAUUGGUGGCAGAGACUCGAUAAUUGACUCAAAAAAAAGGUUUGAUUUUGUAGAAAACCAAGUAUGCAACGCCAUUUGGUAUCUUAGCAUAUAAACAACGUGAUGCUAAACUCGUCGUGAAGGAAGGGGUCAAGGUCGUGAUUUAAUCGGCAGGGAGGGCCCUCGAUAAUACCUUACCCUUCAGCACACGCAACCAGCUGUAGUGCCGAAUCUGCCGAUGUACAGUAGAUGUCUCU